rnacentral:rRNA from 1 species
UACGAAGGGGGCUAGCGUUGUUCGGAUUUACUGGGCGUAAAGCGCACGUAGGCGGAUUGUUAAGUGAGGGGUGAAAUCCUGGAGCUCAACUCCAGAACUGCCUUUCAUACUGGCAAUCUAGAGUCCGGAAGAGGUAAGUGGAACUCCUAGUGUAGAGGUGGAAUUCGUAGAUAUUAGGAAGAACACCAGUGGCGAAAGGCGGCUUACUGGUCCGGUACUGACGCUGAGGUGCGAAAGCGUGGGGAGCAAACAGG